rnacentral:tRNA from 1 species
GCAUUAGUAGCUCAACGUCAGAGCCCCGGCCUUGUAAGCCGGCCGCCGGAGGUUAGAAUCCUCCCUAAUGCU